GACGUAGGGCGCGAGCGUUGUCCGGAUUUAUUGGGCGUAAAGAGCUCGUAGGCGGCUUGUCGCGUCGACCGUGAAAACUCGCAGCUCAACUGCGAGCCUGCGGUCGAUACGGGCAGGCUAGAGUUCGGUAGGGGAGACUGGAAUUCCUAGUGUAGCGGUGAAAUGCGCAGAUAUCAGGAGGAACACCGAUGGCGAAGGCAGGUCUCUGGGCCGAUACUGACGCUGAGGAGCGAAAGCGUGGGGAGCGAACAGG
rnacentral:rRNA from 1 species